CUGGCUUUUUCCGUAUGCUACUGCUUAUCCUGAUGGGCGCAAAGAGCUCUUCUCAUUGGAGGUGGAAUUGCCAACUUCACUGACGUUGCAGCUACUUUCAACGGUAUCAUCCGCGCUCUAAGAGAAAAGGAAACAAGACUGAAAGCAUCAAGAAUGCACAUUUACGUAAGAAGAGGUGGUCCUAAUUACCAGACUGGUCUGGCUAGAAUGCGUGCUCUGGGAGAGGAACUCUGUUCCUCUUGAGGUAUAUGGACCAGAAGCAACGAUGACGGGAAUAUGCAAACGAGCCAUUGACUGCAUCAUGUUACCUGAUGCAUGAUCAACCAAACCUAUUGUGAUCUCUUCAGUUUUAAAAGCAGAACACAAACUUGGAGCUGGAGACUGGGAGGUGUGUGUUAGUGUGUGUUGAUCCCUGUUCUUCGUCUCUAUUUGUCAAUAUGAAAAUGAAAAGCUCUUUGAAACUUUUACUUGUGUGGGUGUAAUAUUGGAAACCAAAUCAUUGUGUGUUAUGUUGCAAGUGUAAUUGUAAACAAAACGGAAUUGUAAACAAAACGGUCAAAAUUCUCUU